GUGGGGAAUUUUGGACAAUGGGCGCAAGCCUGAUCCAGCAAUGCCGCGUGCAGGAAGAAGGCCUUCGGGUUGUAAACUGCUUUUGUACGGAACGAAACGGUCCGGGUUAAUACCCUGGGCUAAUGACGGUACCGUAAGAAUAAGCACCGGCUAACUACGUGCCAGCAGCCGCGGUAAUACGUAGGGUGCAAGCGUUAAUCGGAAUUACUGGGCGUAAAGCGUGCGCAGGCGGUUUUGUAAGACAGGCGUGAAAUCCCCGGGCUCAACCUGGGAAUUGCGCUUGUGACUGCAAGGCUGGAGUUCGGCAGAGGGGGAUGGAAUUCCGCGUGUAGCAGUGAAAUGCGUAGAUAUGCGGAGGAACACCGAUGGCGAAGGCAAUCCCCUGGGCCUGCACUGACGCUCAUGCACGAAAGCGUGGGGAGCAAACAGGAUUAGAAACCCGUGUAGUCC
rnacentral:rRNA from 1 species